CCGUGGAUCAGCAGUGGGAGUUUAGUCGACAUGGGACCGCUGAGAACCUAAGGUCAUUUGCUCAUCACUUUGCAAUUUCCAGUCCACAGCUGAGAUAAGGUGCAACAACAUGAGAUGGGUGUGUAAGAUAUGUAGGUUUGAAUCAGAGAAGAGGGGGCCAUUGUUGAAACACUACAGACUAAAGCAUGGACAUGUGAUGAUGUGGAAGAAAGCUCAGAGCUUUUGGAUGGUGAACCACAGGAGUUGACCCAAGAUAUAAAAGAGAGGUUUGGUCAUCUCUUUUUGAAGUUGGAGAUUACUUUCAAUUUCCCAAACAAAUGCAUUGAUGAAUUAAUAGAUGAACUUAAGUUUAUAUCCACAUGUGCCUCUGGUCCACUUAUAAAAGACGUGGUUUUGUCGACCUUGAGAAACCAUAAGUGUGAUCUGGAUCCAGCUGUUGUUUCAGAUUUGGUAAAAAAUCUGUGUGAGUCACACCCCAUAAGUACUGCCUUGGGGAUGGAUGGGCCUUUCACCACUCAGUACAAGAGGAGAGAAUUCUUGAAACAACAUUUCUCAGUUGUUGAACCCGAAGAACAUAUACUUGACAAAAAGAAGGGGAAAACCUUCCAAUACGUUCCAAUAUUGCCCUCCUUGUUGCAGGUCCUAAGCAAGAGUUUUCAAGAAAAGACAUUUGAAUGUGGAAGAAAUUCUGAAAAUAAGUACCAAACAUUCCGUGAUGGAUCUCACUAUCACAAGAAUGAUUUUUUUUCUGUGAAAGAGGACAGAAUCAGUCUAGUACUCUAUAUUGAUGAGUUUGAGGUAUGCAAUGCUCUUGGGACAUCACGAAAGGUGCACAAAGUCACUGCUGUAUAUUGGGUGUUGGGAAAUAUUCCAGUGCACUUACGGUCCACAUUGGCAUCAAUCUAUCUGGCAAUUCUGUGUAAAGCUGAAGACACCAAGCAGUUUGGAUUCCACAGAGUUUUAGAGCCACUCUUAACAGAUAUUCAAAGCUUGGAGAAAGAUGGGCUUUUUGUUCCAGAGUUAGGGAAAGCCAUUAAAGGAACUGUGGUUAGUGUGGUGGCAGAUAAUUUGGGAGCCCACUCUGUGGCAGGAUUUGUCGAGAGCUUCACAGGACCUUGCGUCUGUCGUUUUUGUGUUGGAGAGCGAUCAGCCUUUCAGUCCAGUGAAGUGAGAUCCGGGUCUUUUCAACAAAGAACUAAAGAUCAGCAUGCACUGCAUGUACAGACAGCUGUGUCUAGUCCAAGUCACACACCUUGCUAUGGUGUGAAAAAACAGUGCAUUGUCAGAAAAACUUGGACAUUUUCACGUGACAUCAGGGUAUCCCCCAGAUGUUUUACACGACACUCUGGAGGGCAUUGUUCCUGUGAAACUGGCUUUGUCAUUUGAUAUCCUGACCAGGAAAAAAUACUUUUCUCUCAUGGAACUCAAUAAUGCCAUCCGUGAUUUCCCAUAUAAAUGGAGUGAUAAAACCAAUCGCCCUCAUCUCAUCCCUGCUAACUUUAGCGCUCGAAAAUCAUUAGGGGGAAAUGCACAUGAAAACUGGUGCUUACUGCGACUGCUGCCUCUGAUAAUAGGUUUAAAAGUACCUGAACAUGAGCCUGUAUGGCAGAUGUUAAUGACAUUGAAAGACAUUGUGGCCCUUGUCAUGUCUCCAGCCCACACAGAAGAAAGCAUCUGCUAUCUUGACAGUAUGAUUGCAGAACACCAAAGCAGAUUCCUUGAUGUUUUUCCCCAAGAGACGUUGAAACCAAAGCACCAUUUCCUGGGGCACUACCCUCAGCUCAUACGUGAAUUUGGCCCUGUUGCUGCCCUUUGGACAAUGAGAUUUGAGGCAAAACACAACUUUUUUAAGAGAAUCGUCAGGCACAUUGGUUGUUUCAGGAAUAUCUUGCUGUCCCUUGCAACUAAGCACCAGCUCAUGGUUGCGUGCCAUCAAACACACGCUGUCAAACCAUCACUUCUGUUGCAGUCACAAA